rnacentral:lncRNA from 12 species
CGGGCACAGCCCGGACAGGAGCGGCACAGCCCAGAGGAAUUAUCCCGAGCAGGCUCAGGGCACUCGGGUACUGAGCAGUCCUGCUGGGCUCCCUCCGUGGGAGACACCGCCCGGAACCUGGGAGGGGCUGCAAGGGGUGCCCGUGGUGGGGAAAGGGCAGAGGGGGAGAGCAGUCCUGCUGGGCUCCCUCCGUGGGAGACACCGCCCGGAACCUGGGAGGGGCUGCAAGGGGUGCCCGUGGGGGGGAAAGGGCAGAGGGGGAGAGCAGGGCUGCAGUGUGUCCUGACAGGGACUGACUCUGUUACCUGCGGCUGGGAGAGCUGUUCCAGCAGACAGAUGGAGAGAGGUUGGGAGGGAUGGUUGCCUCACUGCCUGCUGCAAUUUUGCCCAGCGAUUUAUGGAGGAUUUCCUCUCUGGCACUGACAGAAGCC